rnacentral:rRNA from 1 species
CAGCAGCCGCGGGAAUACGUAGGGUGCAAGCGUUAAUCGGAAUUACUGGGCGUAAAGCGUGCGCAGGCGGUUAUAUAAGACAGAUGUGAAAUCCCCGGGCUCAACCUGGGAACUGCAUUUGUGACUGUAUAGCUAGAGUACGGCAGAGGGGGAUGGAAUUCCGCGUGUAGCAGUGAAAUGCGUAGAUAUGCGGAGGAACACCGAUGGCGAAGGCAAUCCCCUGGGCCUGUACUGACACUCAUGCACGAAAGCGUGGGGAGCAAACAGGAUUAGAUACCCCUGUAGUCCCUGUCUCUUAUAC